UUUUUUUUUUUUUUUUUUUUUUCUUUUUUCUCAGACGAACGCGGCGGCGUGCCUAAUACAUGCAAGUCGAACGAACUCUGGUAUUGAUUGGUGCUUGCAUCAUGAUUUACAUUUGAGUGAGUGGCGAACUGGUGAGUAACACGUGGGAAACCUGCCCAGAAGCGGGGGAUAACACCUGGAAACAGAUGCUAAUACCGCAUAACAACUUGGACCGCAUGGUCCGAGCUUGAAAGAUGGCUUCGGCUAUCACUUUUGGAUGGUCCCGCGGCGUAUUAGCUAGAUGGUGGGGUAACGGCUCACCAUGGCAAUGAUACGUAGCCGACCUGAGAGGGUAAUCGGCCACAUUGGGACUGAGACACGGCCCAAACUCCUACGGGAGGCAGCAGUAGGGAAUCUUCCACAAUGGACGAAAGUCUGAUGGAGCAACGCCGCGUGAGUGAAGAAGGGUUUCGGCUCGUAAAACUCUGUUGUUAAAGAAGAACAUAUCUGAGAGUAACUGUUCAGGUAUUGACGGUAUUUAACCAGAAAGCCACGGCUAACUACGUGCCAGCAGCCGCGGUAAUACGUAGGUGGCAAGCGUUGUCCGGAUUUAUUGGGCGUAAAGCGAGCGCAGGCGGUUUUUUAAGUCUGAUGUGAAAGCCUUCGGCUCAACCGAAGAAGUGCAUCGGAAACUGGGAAACUUGAGUGCAGAAGAGGACAGUGGAACUCCAUGUGUAGCGGUGAAAUGCGUAGAUAUAUGGAAGAACACCAGUGGCGAAGGCGGCUGUCUGGUCUGUAACUGACGCUGAGGCUCGAAAGUAUGGGUAGCAAACAGGAUUAGAUACCCUGGUAGUCCAUACCGUAAACGAUGAAUGCUAAGUGUUGGAGGGUUUCCGCCCUUCAGUGCUGCAGCUAACGCAUUAAGCAUUCCGCCUGGGGAGUACGGCCGCAAGGCUGAAACUCAAAGGAAUUGACGGGGGCCCGCACAAGCGGUGGAGCAUGUGGUUUAAUUCGAAGCUACGCGAAGAACCUUACCAGGUCUUGACAUACUAUGCAAAUCUAAGAGAUUAGACGUUCCCUUCGGGGACAUGGAUACAGGUGGUGCAUGGUUGUCGUCAGCUCGUGUCGUGAGAUGUUGGGUUAAGUCCCGCAACGAGCGCAACCCUUAUUAUCAGUUGCCAGCAUUAAGUUGGGCACUCUGGUGAGACUGCCGGUGACAAACCGGAGGAAGGUGGGGAUGACGUCAAAUCAUCAUGCCCCUUAUGACCUGGGCUACACACGUGCUACAAUGGAUGGUACAACGAGUUGCGAACUCGCGAGAGUAAGCUAAUCUCUUAAAGCCAUUCUCAGUUCGGAUUGUAGGCUGCAACUCGCCUACAUGAAGUCGGAAUCGCUAGUAAUCGCGGAUCAGCAUGCCGCGGUGAAUACGUUCCCGGGCCUUGUACACACCGCCCGUCACACCAUGAGAGUUUGUAACACCCAAAGUCGGUGGGGUAACCUUUUAGGAACCAGCCGCCUAAGGUGGGACAGAUGAUUAGGGUGAAGCGAAAAGGGGGGGGG
rnacentral:rRNA from 1 species